rnacentral:rRNA from 1 species
AGAUAGAAACCGMCCUGGCUCMCMCCGGUUUAAACUCAGAUCAUGUAAAAUUUUAAAGGUCGAACAGACCCAAUUUACCAGCUACUGCACCGAUAAUUAAUUUUAAUCCAACAUCGAGGUCGCAAUCUAUUCUUUCGAUGAGAACUCUAAGAAAAAUUACGCUGUUAUCCCUAAGGUAAUUUAUUCUUUUAAUCUAAAAUUUAGGAUCAUAAACUUACAAAUUAGUAUGAUAAUAUAGAAAAGUUAAAUUAGUUUUCCCAUCACCCCAACAAAAUAAGUAAAAAAAGUCCAGUAAAUAAAAAGAUCCUAAUACUUGAACUUUGAUUUACAUAUAAAACUCUAUAGGGUCUUCUCGUCUACUAUAAAAAUUUAAGCUUUUUCACUUAAAAAUAAAAUUUUAACAAAUUUUUUCAGAGACAGCUAUUUUUUCAUCAAACCUUUCAUACAAGCUUUCAAUUAAAAAACUAAUGAUUAUGCUACCUUUGCACGGUCAAUAUACCGCGGCCAUUUAAUCACCUCAGUGGGCAGGUCAGACCUGAAAUCAUAAUCAACAAGCCAUGKUUUUAAUAA